AACUCAUCUCUGGGUUAUCUGAACGCCUCACAACAUUAAUGAGUGUAUCGUCAUCGCUCGCAAGUGGAAGAUGUAGGAACUUUUCGGCUGCUUUUCAAUCACCUGUCCUCUUUCUGCAAACCGCUUCAACCCGCUCCUUGCAACUUCUGCAAUAAAUGAAAGCGUUUUAACAACAUGAAUGCCCUUCUUCGCCCAGCCCUGAGUCUUUAGAACGGACGUCCAGGCUGUCUACUGAACCCAGCAGGAGGCCUAUAUAAAAAUAGUAUGAUUACUAAUACAAGUAAGUCAUACAAUGCAUAUAUCCUUAAGGAGCUCAGUAAAAGCUACUCCAGGGCAAACUUAAUCUGACAUUUCCUAAGUCCUUCCCUUUGUAACCUGGACAUAUUUAGACAUAUUUUGCAUGUGUUCUGUAUGUUUGCAUAUAUUACAUCCAAAAAUCAGGUUUGUCUGAUCGUAGCAGAGGAGCCAAGGAUGGAAUGGCACCUUGCAAACCAAAGCUGAGGAACACCAGCAGAGCUUUGGGUAGGACAGCCUGCAACUCGUGCAGCUUUUGCUGUGCGUAUUGCAGGACUAUCGGACUUCAGAUGUUAGACUGGUCAAUGUGGCACUUCAAAAAGCAGGGCGUUCAGACAACAAGGUAACGACAACAAAAAGGUGACAGACUGUCUAUUUGAGAGGAACAAGGGUUGAAAUCCACAGCUGGGACAAACAUUUGUUGCAGUCUAAGUUGAUGGCGUGGGCUGCAGUUUUGUACACCAGGUCUGUGUGUGUAAGUGCAGUAAACCACAGAUUCUUUCUCCAA